GACGGAGGGUGCAAGCGUUAUUCGGAAUCAUUGGGCGUAAAGAGCGUGUAGGCGGCCGGGCAAGUCAGAGGUGAAAGCCCAGGGCUCAACCCUGGAAGGGCCUUUGAAACUGCUUGGCUUGAGUCCGGGAGAGGGAAGCGGAAUUCCUGGUGUAGAGGUGAAAUUCGUAGAUAUCAGGAGGAACACCGGUGGCGAAGGCGGCUUCCUGGACCGACACUGACGCUGAGACGCGAAAGCGUGGGGAGCAAACAGG
rnacentral:rRNA from 1 species